rnacentral:rRNA from 1 species
CGUACACUCCUACGGGAGGCAGCAGUGGGGAAUAUUGCACAAUGGGCGCAAGCCUGAUGCAGCCAUGCCGCGUGUAUGAAGAAGGCCUUCGGGUUGUAAAGUACUUUCAGCGGGGAGGAAGGCGAUAAGGUUAAUAACCUUGUUGAUUGACGUUACCCGCAGAAGAAGCACCGGCUAACUCCGUGCCAGCAGCCGCGGUAAUACGGAGGGUGCAAGCGUUAAUCGGAAUUACUGGGCGUAAAGCGCACGCAGGCGGUCUGUCAAGUCGGAUGUGAAAUCCCCGGGCUCAACCUGGGAACUGCAUUCGAAACUGGCAGGCUAGAGUCUUGUAGAGGGGGGUAGAAUUCCAGGUGGAGCGGUGAAAUGCGUAGAGAUCUGGAGGAAUACCGGUGGCGAAGGCGGCCCCCUGGACAAAGACUGACGCUCAGGUGCGAAAGCGUGGGGAGCAAACAGGAUUAGAUACCCUAGUAGUCGC